rnacentral:rRNA from 1 species
CGUGUCGUGAGAUGUUGGGUUAAGUCCCGCAACGAGCGCAACCCUUAUUAUUAGUUGCCAGCAUUCAGUUGGGCACUCUAGUGAGACUGCCGGUGACAAACCGGAGGAAGGUGGGGAUGACGUCAAAUCAUCAUGCCCCUUAUGACCUGGGCUACACACGUGCUACAAUGGCAUAUACAACGAGUCGCCAACCCGCGAGGGUGCGCUAAUCUCUUAAAGUAUGUCUCAGUUCGGAUUGUAGGCUGCAACUCGCCUACAUGAAGUCGGAAUCGCUAGUAAUCGCGGAUCAGCACGCCGCGGUGAAUACGUUCCCGGGUCUUGUACACACCGCCCGUCACACCAUGAGAGUUUGUAACACCCAAAGCCGGUGGGGUAACCUUUUAGGAGCCAGCCGUCUAAGGUGGGACAGAUGAUUAGGGU